AUUUGGGAAGAAAAAUCAAUGGAGAAGACUCAUUAAAAUGCAAAAUUGAAACCAAACAGGAUGCCUGAAGAGGGGUUGUUUGCCUGGUUUUUAGAAAAAGGCAAUGGAGAAGAUGCUUUAGAAUAUAUCUCCAAGCCAGAAUUAAGAUCCUAAACAACAACUUCCUAGGAGGAUAAGAAACAGCUCAAAAUAUGCCAAGAACCAUCAACCAAAGAAAGAUCCAAGUCUCAGAAGGAUUUACCAGUUCCACUUGAGGAGAAGCUCAAAGUCAGUGCCUGCUGGAAAGCUACCCAAAG
rnacentral:lncRNA from 10 species